GAAAACAUCACAACACACAAAAAGCCAACAGUCGUCCACUGUUGAGGUGAAACCCAAGAGAUGAAGCUCCAGAGAUUUGGACUCAGUUUGAGGGUCUGGAGGGAUUUUGUUAUAACAGCAGCCUGUACAGCAUCAGCACCUCCUACAGCUGUAUGCAGAAGCUGAUUAGAGUUUGAUGAUUUUGGAUUCUGUUAGAUCUGUCGUCUGAAUCUCUAUCAGGUCUACCGAUGAAUGAUAUCGAUCGAGUAUCUGCAGGUCAUCUUCAUGAGCAUCAGACAGAUGAAGCUGUAAGUUUUAGGGGCGGUUUCCCGGACAGGGAUUAUCUUAAUCCAGGACUAGGCCUUAGUUUAAUGAGGAAAUAUAACUAGUUUUAACAAACAUGCCUUACUAAAAACAUUACCUUUGUACAUUCUGAGGCAAAACAAAGGACACUGAUGUAUUUUAAGAUAUGUAGGUGCAAGUUGUUUUCAGUUUGAGACAGCUCUUAAAAAUGUUUUAGUCUAGGACUAGUUUAAUUC